GCACGAUGAACACCGAAAUUUUGAAAUACAAUGAUACAAUAGCAAACUAUAGACAGAAUUGUAGGAAAACGAAGAGGAAGAAGAGUGUGGCAGAAAAAAGAGAAAACUAACGUCAGACUUUUAGGAAGAGAGAAAAAAUAAAAUAAAAUAAAAUAAAAUAGGAUUUAAGCAAAAUCCCAUUACAUCCACUAACAACCCAACCAACUCAAAAUUUCACUACCAUCGAACUACUAUCAACAACCGACACCAAAAAAAUAACACCCACAC
rnacentral:lncRNA from 1 species